AGCUUUGUGCAGUGGCAGUAUCAUAGCCAAUGAGGUUUAGCUGAGGUGUGAUUAUUGCUAAUUAAAAU
rnacentral:snRNA from 1 species